UGAUGACUGAUUCCAGAGACAGGAUUUUGAUUCUCCACAUUCCAAUGUUGCGAAGGAGGAAGAUAAGAAAACCCGUGCUCUACUGGUUUUAGAUAAAAACGAAAGAUAUGGAUCAUCCUGUGAUGAGGAGAAUGAGGUCCCCGAGCAGUCUGUGGAUCCUGAAAAUAACCCAGAUGCCUCGUACCCAGACACUGCACCUGCUGCAAGCUGUGAAAGUGAAAAAGG